rnacentral:misc_RNA from 1 species
UUCUUCUUCUUCUUCUUCUUCUUCCCAACGCACUCGGUACGGAAAACGUCUUUGCUACCGCGAGAGAAGACUACGAAAGAGGGUGUGAAUUAUACUCGAGAAGGGGUCUCUGGCUAAUUUCAUCCCUCGACAACCUUCCACCACCAUCUUUUCUACCCCCGGUCCACGGGCUUCCCCUCUUCUUUUUUCUCUUCACCUUUUUUUUUUUUUUCUUUUCUUCUUCGUUUUUUCUCGUUUUACUCCGACAGGGAAUUUUCACUCUCCGGUUCGACGAGCCUCGGAGACGAAGUCUACGACGACGAAUAUUUCAGCGAUAUCGACUAUUCCGCGGACGGAUAGAGGGGGAAGGGGGGCAGACGGGGUACCUCGGUACGACGGAAGAACAGGCGCAAAACUCAUUCAUGCGAGUAUGCAGAUAUUUUCAUCGCAAAGCAGCAGUAUAACCGACUGUAGCGUAUACGUACGUAC